AUUCUCUCUACAUGAUCAGUCCUUAAGCGCACAUAUCCAAGACACAGCAACAACAUAUGGCAGCACAACUGCAAAGCAGCAAACCAAACAACAGAAAAGAAUUAGGAAAGAAUGUUAAACCUAAAGGAAA